CAGGCCUAAUACAUGCAAGUCGAACGGUAACAGCACUUCGGUGGCUGACGAGUGGCGCACGGGUGCGUAACGCGUAUACAAUCUACCUUUUACAAGGGGAUAGCCCAGAGAAAUUUGGAUUAAUACCCCAUGGCAUAUAUUUAUGGCAUCAUAUAUAUAUUAAAGAUUUAUCGGUAAAAGAUGAGUAUGCGUCCUAUUAGCUAGAUGGUAAGGUAAAGGCUUACCAUGGCGACGAUAGGUAGGGGCCCUGAGAGGGGGAUCCCCCACACUGGUACUGAGACACGGACCAGACUCCUACGGGAGGCAGCAGUGAGGAAUAUUGGACAAUGGGCGCAAGCCUGAUCCAGCCAUGCCGCGUGCAGGAAGACUGCCCUAUGGGUUGUAAACUGCUUUUAUACGGGAAGAAACACCUCCACGCGUGGGGGCUUGACGGUACCGUAAGAAUAAGGAUCGGCUAACUCCGUGCCAGCAGCCGCGGUAAUACGGAGGAUCCAAGCGUUAUCCGGAAUCAUUGGGUUUAAAGGGUCCGUAGGUGGACGGUUAAGUCAGAGGUGAAAUCCUGCAGCUCAACUGUAGAAUUGCCUUUGAUACUGGUCGUCUUGAGUCAUUGUGAAGUGGUUGGAAUAUGUAGUGUAGCGGUGAAAUGCAUAGAUAUUACAUAGAACACCGAUUGCGAAGGCAGAUCACUAACAAUGUACUGACACUGAUGGACGAAAGCGUGGGGAGCGAACAGGAUUAGAUACCCUGGUAGUCCCACGCCGUAAACGAUGGUCACUAAGCUGUCCGGACCUUAUUAUCUCAGUGACUAAGCGAAAGUGAUAAGUGUCCCACCUGGGGAGUACGAUCGCAAGAUUGAAACUCAAAGGAAUUGACGGGGGCCCGCACAAGCGGUGGAGCAUGUGGUUUAAUUCGAUGAUACGCGAGGAACCUUACCAGGGCUUAAAUGUAGGUUGCAUAGAUCAGAGAUGGUCUUUUCUUCGGACUACUUACAAGGUGCUGCAUGGUUGUCGUCAGCUCGUGCCGUGAGGUGUCAGGUUAAGUCCUAUAACGAGCGCAACCCCUGUCGUUAGUUGCCAGCAUGUAAAGAUGGGGACUCUAACGAGACUGCCGGUGCAAACCGAGAGGAAGGUGGGGAUGACGUCAAAUCAUCACGGCCCUUACGUCCUGGGCCACACACGUGCUACAAUGGCCGGCACAGAGAGCAGCCAUGUUGCAAGACAGAGCGAAUCUAUAAAACCGGUCACAGUUCGGAUCGGGGUCUGCAACUCGACCCCGUGAAGCUGGAAUCGCUAGUAAUCGGAUAUCAGCCAUGAUCCGGUGAAUACGUUCCCGGGCCUUGUACACACCGCCC
rnacentral:rRNA from 1 species